AGAGUUUGAUCAUGGCUCAGAAUGAACGCUGGCGGCGUGCUUAACACAUGCAAGUCGAACGAGAAAGGGAUUGCUUGCAAUCCUGAGUAGAGUGGCGCACGGGUGAGUAACACGUAGAUAAUCUACCUUUGAUUUUGGGAUAACUAUCCGAAAGGGUGGCUAAUACCGGAUAAAGUUUUAAUACGCGAGUAUAAAGAUGAAAGUAUGCCUCUGCUUGCAAGCAUAUGAUUGGAGAUGAGUCUGCGGACCAUUAGUUAGUUGGUGGGGUAAUGGCCUACCAAGACCACGAUGGUUAGCUGGUCUGAGAGGAUGAUCAGUCACACUGGAACUGGAACACGGUCCAGACUCCUACGGGAGGCAGCAGUGAGGAAUUUUGCGCAAUGGGGUAACCCCUGACGCAGCAACGCCGCGUGAGUGAAGAAGGCCUUUGGGUCGUAAAGCUCUGUCAACUGGGAAGAAGUUACAAAUAUCCAAUAGGCAUUUGUAUUGACGGUACCAGUGGAGGAAGCGUCGGCUAACUCCGUGCCAGCAGCCGCGGUAACACGGGGGACGCAAGCGUUAUUCGGAAUUAUUGGGCGUAAAGGGCGUGUAGGCGGUCUUAUCGGUCAGAUGUGAAAGCCCAGGGCUCAACCCUGGACGUGCAUUUGAAACAGUAAGACUUGAGUACUGGAGAGGAAAGCGGAAUUCCUGGUGUAGAGGUGAAAUUCGUAGAUAUCAGGAGGAACACCGAUGGCGAAGGCAGCUUUCUGGACAGAAACUGACGCUGAUGCGCGAAGGCGUGGGUAGCGAACAGGAUUAGAUACCCUGGUAGUCCACGCAGUAAACGAUGUACACUAGGUGUAGGUGAUAUUAAAAUUGUCUGUGCCGCAGUUAACGCAUUAAGUGUACCGCCUGGGGAGUACGAUCGCAAGGUUGAAACUCAAAGGAAUUGACGGGGGCCCGCGCAAGCGGUGGAGCAUGUGGUUUAAUUCGAUGCAACGCGAAGAACCUUACCUGGGCUUGUGGCAGAUGAACGUUCUGUGAAAGCAGUUCCUUCGGCUUCGGUCGACAUCUGUUUCAGGUGCUGCAUGGCUGUCGUCAGCUCGUGUCGUGAGAUGUUGGGUUAAGUCCCGCAACGAGCGCAACCCUUGCCCCUAGUUGCCAGCAAGUAAUGUUGGGGACUCUAGGGGGACUGCCGGUGAUAAACUGGAGGAAGGUGGGGAUGACGUCAAGUCCUCAUGGCCCUUACAUCCCGGGCUACACACGUGCUACAAUGGCCGGUACAACGGGUUGCGAUACUGUGAAGUGGAGCCAAUCCCUAAAAACCGGUCUCAGUUCGGAUUGCAGUCUGCAACUCGACUGCAUGAAGUCGGAAUCGCUAGUAAUCGCGGAUCAGCUCGCCGCGGUGAAUACGUUCCCGGGCCUUGUACACACCGCCCGUCACGCCAUGGAAGUCGGCAGUACCCGAAGCCGGUGUCCUAAUCCGCAAGGAAAGGAGCUGUCGAAGGUAAGGCCGGUGACUGGGGCGAAGUCGUAACAAGGUA
rnacentral:rRNA from 1 species